AUGCUCUGGGCUUCCCUCAUUGUCCUGCUGGGGACGUGCUGCACAGGUUCCAGCUCGCAGCUUGUGCUGACUCAGCCGCCCUCAGCAUCAGUGUCCCCAGGAAACACCAUGAAACUCUCCUGCACCAUGAGCAGUGGGACCAGCAUCAGUGACUACUAUUUGUAUUGGUACCAACAGAAACCGGGGAAUUCCCCACGAUACCUGCUCUAUUAUUCUUCAGAGUCCAGCAAGAACCAGGGCUCCGGGGUUCCUGCUCGCUUCUCUGGUUCCAAAGACAUGUCCAGCAACACCGGCUAUUUGACCAUCACUGGGGCCCUGGCAGAGGAUGAGGCUGACUAUUACUGUGCUAUGUGGCACAGCAAUGCUUGUCACAGUGACACAGUCAGUGGGGAAGUGAAACAAAAACCUUCUUUGUCUUUCCUCCCACCAGCGUGGGGCCUGCACAGGCUGCUAGUUUUGGUCUCUGCCUACAGCAGAGCUCACACUAAUAUUUGCUCUUCACAGCACAUAGCAGCUCCUUACAGUCAGUAA